rnacentral:rRNA from 1 species
GACGAACGCUGGCGGCGUGCCUAAUACAUGCAAGUAGAACGCUGAAGAGAGGAGCUUGCUCUUCUUGGAUGAGUUGCGAACGGGUGAGUAACGCGUAGGUAACCUGCCUGGUAGCGGGGGAUAACUAUUGGAAACGAUAGCUAAUACCGCAUAAAAUUGAUUAUUGCAUGAUAAUUAAUUGAAAGAUGCAAUUGCAUCACUACCAGAUGGACCUGCGUUGUAUUAGCUAGUUGGUGAGGUAACGGCUCACCAAGGCGACGAUACAUAGCCGACCUGAGAGGGGGAUCGGCCACACUGGGACUGAGACACGGCCCAGACUUCUACGGGAGGCAGCAGUAGGGAAUCUUCGGCAAUGGGGGGAACCCUGACCGAGCAACGCCGCGUGAGUGAAGAAGGUUUUCGGAUCGUAAAGCUCUGUUGUAAGAGAAGAAAGGGUGUGAGAGUGGAAAGUUCACACUGUGACGGUAUCUUACCAGAAAGGGACGGCUAACUACGUG